rnacentral:rRNA from 1 species
GACGAACGCUGGCGGCGUGCUUAACACAUGCAAGUCGAACGAAGAGCGAUGGAAGCUUGCUUCUAUCAAUCUUAGUGGCGAGCGGGUGAGUAACGCGUAAUCAACCUGCCCUUCAGAGGGGGACAACAGUUGGAAACGACUGCUAAUACCGCAUACGAUCUAAACUCGGCAUCGAGGAUAGAUGAAAGGUGGCCUCUACAUGUAAGCUAUCACUGAAGGAGGGGAUUGCGUCUGAUUAGCUAGUUGGAGGGGUAACGGCCCACCAAGGCGAUGAUCAGUAGCCGGUCUGAGAGGAUGAACGGCCACAUUGGGACUGAGACACGGCCCAGACUCCUACGGGAGGCAGCAGUGGGGAAUCUUCCGCAAUGGACGAAAGUCUGACGGAGCAACGCCGCGUGAGUGAUGACGGCCUUCGGGUUGUAAAGCUCGGUUAAUCGGGACGAAAGGCCUUCUUGCGAAUAGUGAGAAGGAUUGACGGUACCGGAAUAGAAAGCCACGGCUAACUACGUG